rnacentral:rRNA from 1 species
UGGGGAAUAUUGGACAAUGGGCGAAAGCCUGAUCCAGCCAUGCCGCGUGUGUGAAGAAGGCCUUUUGGUUGUAAAGCACUUUAAGCGAGGAGGAGGCUACUUAGAUUAAUACUCUAGGAUAGUGGACGUUACUCGCAGAAUAAGCACCGGCUAACUCUGUGCCAGCAGCCGCGGUAAUACAGAGGGUGCGAGCGUUAAUCGGAUUUACUGGGCGUAAAGCGUGCGUAGGCGGCUUCUUAAGUCGGAUGUGAAAUCCCUGAGCUUAACUUAGGAAUUGCAUUCGAUACUGGGAAGCUAGAGUAUGGGAGAGGAUGGUAGAAUUCCAGGUGUAACGGUGAAAUGCGUAGAGAUCUGGAGGAAUACCGAUGGCGAAGGCAGCCAUCUGGCCUAAUACUGACGCUGAGGUACGAAAGCAUGGGGAGCAAACAGG